rnacentral:rRNA from 1 species
CCUACGGGGGGCAGCAGUGGGGAAUAUUGGACAAUGGGGGGAACCCUGAUCCAGCGACGCCGCGUGAGUGAAGAAGUAUUUCGGUAUGUAAAGCUCUAUCAGCAGGGAAGAAAGAAAUGACGGUACCUGACUAAGAAGCCCCGGCUAACUACGUGCCAGCAGCCGCGGGAAUACGUAGGGGGCAAGCGUUAUCCGGAUUUACUGGGUGUAAAGGGAGCGUAGACGGCGAUGCAAGUCUGAAGUGAAAGGCUGGGGCCCAACCCCCGGACUGCUGUGGAGACUGGAUGGCUGGAGUGCAGGAGAGGUAAGUGGAAUUCAGAGUGUAGCGGUGAAAUGCGUAGAUAUUAGGAGGAACACCAGUGGCGAAGGCGGCUUACUGGACUGUAACUGACGUUGAGGCUCGAAAGCGUGGGGAGCAAACAGGAUUAGAUACCCUUGUAGUC